AAAGUCAGAGAUUUAAAUGAUUUGGACAUGCACAGAGGAGGAACCCAGGGUAUAUAGGGAGAAGGAUGCUGAGGAUGGAUCCACCAGGCAGAAGAGAGGGAGGACAAAAUAGGAGGUUUCUGGAUGUGGCGAAGGAGGACAUGCAGAUGGUUGGUGUGACAGAGAAAGAUGCAGAGGACAGGGUGAGAUGGAAUGGAUAGUUCUGAUGUGGCGACCCCUAACGGGAUCAGCCAAAAGA